AUCGCUUCUCAGCCUUUUGGCUAAGAUCAAGUGUAGAAGACAUUGGGGAAUUAUUAAUUUUUUUGAUGUAAUAAUCAGAAAACAUAAGAAAAUGUCCUUGGUUUUAGGACAUAUACAUAGCUGCACUUAAGGGUGAUGUAUCAUGAUAU
ensembl:snRNA U2 U2 spliceosomal RNA